rnacentral:lncRNA from 1 species
CUCCACGUGGGUGGGGCUGGGCGCCCUCCCCACCCCCACGAGGGCCGCGGCCGUGGGGCGCUGGUAGCUCUCCCGCCCCUCCGCCCUGCACCCCUCCCGCCCUAGGGCUCUUUCCUGGACUGCGGCUGCAGCCUUCUCUUCCCGGAGGGCUCAGAGUUCGUCCCCUUUUCGCGAUUGGGAACGUGGACACGCCGGAGCCUGGAUGCAGAAGGGCGCGCGGGAACAGGGAGCUGGUGCGCGAGCCGCAGCCCAGCGUCCAGGCCGCCCCACUCUCUGCUGAUCCAAAGGACUAGGGAAACCCUGCGCGCCGACGGUGGCCUGGACGUUGGCGCGGGCCCUGGCGCUAAAAAACGGAUCCCAUUUCCAGAAAGGCGGGCCGGGUAUCCCGCUCCUGCCUCCUGGAGAAUUAGCUCGGCGGAGGUCGACCAGCCGGGUAGGGAGGGAGGGAUGGAGGGACAGGCCUAGGGUCGACCAGCCGGAUAGGGAGUAGCUUCUGGGAGCUCCCUUGCCUACGGAGGGCCGGUGAGGCUGCCCUCAGAGCGCCGCCAGUUAGCUGCAGCUGAGCCAGAAGCGUCCCCACUGGCUUACCCGAUAGUGGGAUUUUACACGGUGUCGGCUAAGGGUGGCUUUGUGAGAAGACCAUUUCAGAAGAAGAAACGGGGCUCUGGCUGGUGGGGUAGAAACCCCUAUGGAAUGAAAAGUACUCCCAGUCUCUUUGAGGAAGAUUGCAAAGUAAGUUGGGGUGAGGAAGAGUGUGACUUCCCUACCCAGAGUCUGGUUGAGCACGGAUCCCGCCGAGGAGAGAAGGGUCCCGGCCGGGGGGAAGGUCCCUCUUUCUGGGACAAAGCGAUCCUUAAUUGUGGCCACCUUCCAAAGUCCGGGGCGAAUUCGCUACGCGCGUCUGCCCGGGCGGCGCUUGGUGGGUAGUCCCGCUUCCACCAAAACUCUGUGUUUCCUUUCUCUCAAAAUAAAACUCAACAAGCCAUAAAGCUUCCGACGCCGGUGGAGAAGGCGCCGCGGAUUUAUGGCCCCUGAAUUCCCUACUCUCUAAUUAUCCUUGUUUUUACUUGACUUAUGGGUAGUGACCAAUAAAAUCAUUUUCCAUUUUGGAUUU